GGGUGCCCAGAAAAGCCAGGGACUGAAAUGGAAGGCAGGGAGAGUGAAACACACCAGAACAAUCAAUUGGAGAACUUUAUAAGUUCUAUGUGGCUACAAGGAACCUCUAGUGCCUGCUUGUGUCACACCUUGCCAGCUGGGAGCUCCAAUAGUAACAUCCUCCAAGAGUCCCAGAAUGAUAUAUAUGAACACAGAUGUCUGGACCUCAAGGGGCCUGGGUUGAUCAGAUGGCAGAAAGAAAGCUAGGCACUGAGAACUGAGAUAGCACUGGGAGCUUAAUGUAUGUUACUGGUGGGGUUACUGUAUCCUGGAUGUAAAUCUGGGGUCAAGUUUUGUCAGCCCAUUGACCUGAAUCCUGAUAUCUGGUGGGAAUAUUUUUCUUUAAAGUAUGUAUUUAUUUAUAUAUUUGGCUGUGCUGGGUCUUAGUUGCGGCACGCAGGAUCCUUGUUGCGACAUGCGGGAUCUUUUAGUUGCAGCAUGCAGGAUCUUUAGUUGCGGCAUGCAGACACUUAGUUGCGGCAUGUGGGAUCUAGUUCCCUGACCAGGGAUCGAACCCGGGCCCCCUGCAUUGGGAGUGUGGAGUUUUAGCCCAUGGACCACCAGGGAAGUCCCUCUGGUGGGAAUCCUAUGACUGGUAGGCUCCAGACCUGUGUCCUCCACCUCUGCUGGGGAGAUCCCUCUUCCCAGGGUUGGUACAGGAGGUCCCUCAUUGGCCCAUAUUCCCCUUCUUUGGUUUUUACUUCCCUCCUGUUCUCAUCUGUGACUUUCAAAACACAUUUUAUUGUGCAGACCUAGGGUUCAAACUCCAAAAUAUUCCAUGAUGUCCAAUAACAGUAUCUGGUCACUUAGGUAGGAGAGUCUGUAUUCUAGUCUACAAUCUCCCUAGGUUUCUAAUUAUUAUCAUUUUUAUAGUUACUACUUUUAUUAUAAUUAGGAUAAUCAUCAUUAUCAAUGUUGUUACUCAUUAUGAUUUUUAUUAUUAUGUUUUUUAUUAUGCAUUAUUUUUGUGGUGGUAGUUAUACAGCACUGAGCAGAGUUUCUCUUUUCACCUAGGUGUCAGGUUGACUGAAGAUAAGGGAAGGUCCCUCAACAUACCUACAUACCUACACAGUCACAGUUCUCCCAGGUUCCUGCAGUAGCCUUUUUUUGUUUUUAAGUGAAACACCUUCAUCAGUUUUUUUUUAAUAGUAUUUUUAAAUUAAUUAUUUUUGGUUGCAUUGGGUCUUCAUUGCUGUGCAUGGGCUCUCUCUAGUUGCGCUGAGUGGGGGCUACUCUUCGUCACGGUACAUGGGCCUCUCACUGCGGUGGCUUCUCUUGUUGCAGAGCAGGGGCUCCAGGUGCACGGGCUUCAGUAGUUGUGGCACGCGGGCUCAGUAGUUGUGGAUCACGGGCUCCAAAACGCAGGCUCAGCGCACGGGCUUAGUUGUUCCACGGCAUGUGGGAUCUUCCUGGACCAGGGAUUGAACACAUGUCCCCUGCAUUGGCAGGCGGACUCCCAGCCACUGUGCAGGCAGAGAAGUCCCCCUGCAGUAGCCCUUGAGGCCUGUUUGUCAGAUGAGCCUUUUGAAAUAUUAGAAGUCUCCUUCCAGAGGCAAACCCCACCUGGACAUCUGGAAAAUUUUACAAGUCUUAUUGAGGGCCCCCAAACUGUUUUGCUGGCCUUAAGGACCCAGAAGGCUGUCUUAGACUAGCCAGAGCCUUCACAUAAUUUUCUAAGACAAUUCAAAGGCACAGGAGGUGCUGUUACCUUCCUGGAAAAGCUGCAGAGGGCAUCCUUGCCCACAUGAGCCUCCUCAGAAUUCUAAAAGUCAGCACAGAGGCUGGAAAUCUGGCUUUAAAAACAAUUGAGGCUCAAGGGAGGCAUCCUAGGCCCCCCUGAACCUCUGGGAAUGUUCUACAUCCCCUUCGGUGUCCAAGAAAAGCUGGUGCUGGGGCUUCCCUGGUGGCGCAGUGGUUGGGAGUCUGCCUACCAAUGCAGGGGACACGGGUUCAAGCCCUGGUCUGGGAAGAUCCCACGUGCCGCGGAGCAGCUGGGCCCGUGAGCUACAAAUACUGAGCUCUGCACGUCUGGAGCCUGUGCUCCGCAGCAAGAGAGGCCGCGACAGUGAGAGGCCCGCGCACCGCGAUGAAGAGUGGCCCCCGCUUGCCACAACUAGAGAAAGCCCUUGCACAGAAACGAAGACCCAACACAGCCAAAAAUAAAUAAAUGAAUAAAUAAAUUUAAAAAAAAAAAGAAAAAAGAAAAGCUGGUGCUGGACUGGAUGGCAAGGAGGGGACAACCUGUCAUGUGACCUACCAUCAAAUUUUCUAAAUUACUCAAUAAACUCAGUAACAGCUUAGGCUGCUACUGUCGCCCCUGCUGGUUGAGGAGCACUGGCUGAGAUAUGUGAACUGAAAUUUCUGGACCUGAAGAAGCUAGGUAAAGAACAAGAAAGGCAACCAGGCCAUCAUGAGGACUUAAAGUGCCUAGUAGAGGGGGCCUUUGAGCAGCAGGUGGAUCUGGGCCCUGCCUUCUUUGCAGGGACCCAGGCCAUCAGAAAAUUGGCUCAACCCCUGAAAUUCCAUGAGGUUCCUGUGGCUGGUUGGUUCUAAAACAGGGUCUCUCUAUGUCUGCCCUAUAGGGAUCUCUUCCUGGGGUUGGCAUGGGAGUUCCCAAGAUUGCCCGUGUCCUGAAUAUUAUUACAAUAAUUCCUUAUCAUUAUUGUUGUUGUUAUAAAACGUUGAAUAAAGUUUCUUGAUCCGUGAAGAACUGUCUCAUUUCCUGAAGAUGACAGAGGGUUCCCAAAGCACACACCGCUGCUCUCUGGCUCCCAGGUUAGCUCCUCAGUCACUUCCCCCAGGGAACUUCCAGAAACUUUCCAAAUACACUGCCAGAUGCCUGGACUGGCCUUUUUUUUUUUUUUUCCCUCAGGAGAAACUCAGGGAGGGCAUCUUGCCUGUCUGAGCCCCUGGAAAAUAUUCUAAGUCACCAUAGGUCCAGCUUUGAAAUGGUUGCCUAUUUGAAGUGGAUGCCUCAACAAUCAAAGCUUAACUCAGGCACUUUUAUUAC
rnacentral:lncRNA from 1 species